AGAGGUAUAUAUUAACAUAGAGUGAGCCUUCACUCCGCCACCACUGACGACAAGAUCUCUUGGACUGGUUUGCGGUAUCUCUUUCUAGCACAAUGUAUCGAGAAACAUAACAUGAAACUAAGUGGGGGUACGGGACGGCAAGUGAAAUAAGGAGAAUUACCUUCUUCUUUAUUUAUUAUGACAAGUGACAAGACAACAUAACCCAAAUGCAAAUAAUUUAAUCCAGCCCUAUUUCUAUUUUUGAACAAAAUGCUGGAAAUUGGAAAUAUCUUAGUUUAUUUUUAGUUCUAGCUUAUUUACGGCUAGAUUGAAAAUCAGAAUUUUCUAAUAUUGGUUCAUGAUUAUCAUCAGGGACUUGAUUCGGUUCUUAAACAGAAUCAAUGGCUCUCUGAAAAUAUGAUACUCCAUUGGUCACCCCAAGAGGAAUACAACAAAAUUGGUAAAGGCAUCCACUUUCCUCAAAAGCUGUAAAUGGUUUGUCAAAUUCAUGAAUUGGUAUUUGAUGAUACGCGUUUUUUAAAUCAACUACCAUCUGACGUUUAUGAUUUUCGUUUUUGAAAAAAAUGAUGUAUCACAGACUUAAAAUGCGUUUAUCUCAAACACAGUUAAAUUUAGCGAGAUGAAUGUAGUAUACUUUUUUAAAUAAAAAUAUUAACAUAAUAAAAAUUUUGAUUCAAAAAAUUGAACGUAUUAAAUGAGUGCUGAAAGAUGUAUAUAGCUCCGUUUGGAAAAUAUAUCAUUUUUGGUGGCGAAUUUAGCUUUCUCGUCCCAAAAAACCCCCGCUUACCAAAUUUAGUGUUAUUAUCCCAUGCCUGUUAGGAAAUAUUCAAGAAUAAAUAAAAUAAAAGUUUAACUUUGACACCCUGUAUCUCGGUUAUUAUCAACUUUCGUACUAAGGUAAGUUAGCUUAAAUCAAACUAUUUUAACCCCAGGAAUCUAAGGUUAAGCUAUCGCCCAUUCUUUACCAAACACCCUGUAUAUCGUACUAGUGACGUCAUCCAUUUGGAUGUGAUGAUGUAAUCUACUAUUUUUUUAAAUGGGAAUAGGGGUCGAGUGCUAGCUCAUUUAAAAGGUUAUUCAAUUCCAUAUUCAGUAAUAUAAACAUUAACAUGAUUAAUUAUACAGAGUGUCCAAAGAAUUUUUUUAAAUUAAAUUAAUUGACACAAAAAGAAGAAUGAGCUAGCACACGAUCGCUAUUCUCAUUUAAAAAAAUAGUCGAUUACGUCAUCACGCCCAGAUGGAUGACAUCACUAGUAUGUUGUAUACAGUAGAACCCCGAAAAUCCGAACCAAUUGGGGGGACAGCCUGUUCGGAUUCUGAAAAGUUCGGAUUAUCUGAAAGUCAGCCUAACUAGUAAUUCAAAGCUCUCCUGCAAAACGUGUAACCUGACUAUGAGAAAACCGAAGUAAAUUUAUGUUUAACCUUUAUAAGAGAUGUUCAGCAGACAUCAAGAAAUCAUUACUUUUCUAUUCACCCAUUAUUACCCAAAUGUAUACCUCAUUUUAACUACAAUUAUAACAAAGUACAUUCCUCAUUAAUAACCCGGCUAAAACUUACCCAUGGACUUUUUCCAGAGCAUCUACAUAGGAUUGGAAUCUAUGAAACUCCCUUCUGUUCCUGUAACCAUGAGUCCAUCGGGGAUCUGAACAUGUAUUCUUUGAUUGUCUUAAUCAUAGGGAUCAGACUCAAAACUUAUAUUUAGGUUUAAUUAACCUUAACAUUAGCCUUCCAAUUAGCAUCAGCAAUGUUUUAUCUUAUUCUGACAAAUCUAUAUUUAAUAUCUUAAUCAAGUUUAUAAAUGAUUCUAAGAUAAAAAUUUAAACAUAUCUAUAACAAAAUUCUGUGGCAAAAAGACUCUUUGUCUAAUGCCAUCUCUUUGGCGCGCGCGCUCCCACACACACACACACACACACACACACACACACACACACACACACACACACACACAAACACAAACACAAACACAAACACAAACACACACACACACACACACACAAACACACACACACACACACACACACACACACACACACACACACACACACACACACACACACACACACACACACACACACACACACAAACACAAACACACACACAAACACACACACACACACACACACACACACACACACACAACCUUUAUAAUCAUUACAUAUAAAGUACCUACGUAUUUAUUUUUAAGAAAUUUUAAAUGUCAAAGUCCUACUAAUCCAAUAUUGUUCAAUUUUCUGGUUAUACUCUAUAUAAUAAACAUGUAUUUAAGUUUUUGUCUUAAAUUUAAAAAAAAAAUUUCACUUUCCGUUAGUUUGGAUUUGCGGGGUUCUACUGUAUGUCAAAAAUAUAUAUGGGGGGGGGGGGGGGGGUCAAAAUAUAGUGAAUAACCCUGUACAUCAAGAAAUUUACUACCAACGUCUCUGUUACUGAAUAUAUCACUAAGUACAGGGCAACCUAUUUAAAACUUAAAGAAUCAGCUAAAAAAUUAUACUAUCAAAAUCAUCUGAGAAGCUUUAAAAGUGUUGCAAAAGAAAUUUGGUCCAUAAUAAACAAUCUUCGAAAUCAAACUCACACAGCUCAAACAUUUUCCCUUCCAGACCAUGAAUACUUUAUUAAUGUGAGUAAAAUUAUAACAUCAACUAUUUUGUCACAAGAGAUCAAUUUUGUUAAGAUCCGAUUUCCUAUCUCCCUAAUUCAAGAAAGGUCUCAAAUUCAUUAUUUAUAAGACUAGUUGAUUAAUCUGAACUGAUCCAAACAAUCAAUAGUAUCAAAAGCAAAUCUUCCUGUAGUACUGAUGGACUAUCCAUAAAAAUUGUCAUAAAAAUCUCCCAGAAAAUGUGUUGGGAGUCCUCAUCCCACUAACGACUCUUUUAAGGGGCUAUCCUAGUGUAAAAGAACGAAAUUCACAUACUUUUUUUGGGAAUAUCUAAAAUAAAAAGUACUGUACCAAUUGUUUUGAAAAUUUGCAUGACCAUUUAUUAUAAAAAGAAGUACAAGUAAAACAAUUUUCAUAAAAAAAAAUAAUGAAAAUUUAACGAUUUAUGCCCUAUCUACUGGCACAGUGAAAAUAAAAAACAUGGCUCCACUGCUGCAGUGAUUGGGACUAAUAGAGAUCCUGAAUUAUAAAAUUGCAAAGUGAUUAUUGAAAUAUAAGUUAUUUCCUAUGUCCUAUACCAUCAAUUAGGAUUUUUGGAAAAAUGACAGUGUUGAAAUUUUUUUUAAAUUAGCUAGAACAUUUUCAGUUUCAAAAACCGCCAAAUUGACAUUUUUUAUCCGAUUAAAAAAUCCCUAUUUGAUGGUAUAGAAAAUAACCUAUAUUUCAAUAAUAACUUUGAUAUUUUAUGUUUCAGGAUCUCUUUUAGUCCCAAUCACUGCAGCAGUGGAGCUAUGUUUUUAUUUUCACUGUGCCAGUAGAUGGCGAAUAAAUCGUUUAAUUUUCAAUAUUUUUUUAUGAAAAUUGUUUCACAUGUACUUCUUUUUAUAACAAAUGUUCAUGCAAAUUUUCAAAAUAAUUGGUACAGUAUUUUUUAUUUUAGAAAUUCCCAAAAAAGUAUAUGAAUUUCAUACUUUUACACUAGGAUAGCCCCUUAAGAAAGGUAAAUUUCUAGAGCUGCCUAAAGACAGCCAUCAUUAUUCCUCUUCAUAAGGGUGGUGAAAAAUCUAAUGCCUGCAAUUAUAGACCUAUUGCAUUACCACUGGUACUCUCAAAUAGGACUCAUAAUACACAAGUAUAAAAACUUGUUGCUGGUAUGAGCACAUUGUGUAAAUGUUAGGAUUUAAAGAGGAUAUAAAAACCUUCAAUACGAUUAUGAGUGUUAGUCUCUUUAUAUCCUAACAUUUUUUUGUUAUUGUUUUAGUUUAUUAUUGUUUUUUAUGACUCUUUGUAAGUUUUGUGUAUAAAUUGUACAAUUUUCCAUGACAAUAAAGCAUUUUUCUAUUUUAA
rnacentral:lncRNA from 1 species